AAUGAACGCUGGCGGCGUGCUUAACACAUGCAAGUUGGACGAGAAAGGCUGAUUUCGGUUGGCCGAGUAAAGUGGCGCACGGGUGAGUAACGCGUAGGCAACCUACCCUUGUAUUGGGGGAUAACCCCCGCGAAAGCGGGGCUAAUACCGAAUGAGACCCUGUUCUGGAGGGGACAGGGUGAAAGUCGGCCGCUCGGAGAAGCUGACGUACGAGGAUGGGCCUGCGUCCUAUCAGCUAGUUGGUGGGGUAGCGGCCUACCAAGGCGAUGAUGGGUAGGCGGCCUGAGAGGGUG
rnacentral:rRNA from 1 species